rnacentral:lncRNA from 1 species
GGACCAGGGCGUGCUCGCCUCCGAGGUCCCCACCGGCAGGUCCUGGCACCCUGUGGGUGCUCGGCAAGGUCGCAGUCCAAGAUUCCUGAUGGAAAUGAUGGAAACCCGAUUCAGCCCAGUAUGGACAUGUACUGUGUGCACAGAGGACGGCUGAGCCUUUAAGGGAGUUGAUAAUUUGCCCACCUGCUCAUUGACAAG